AUCCAGCUGACGGGUCCGAACCAGGACGAAACGUGUGUCCUGGAU
rnacentral:hammerhead_ribozyme from 1 species